GACCUUGUGGCCUAACAGAUAAGGUGUCUGACUUCGGAUCAGAAGAUUGCAGGUUCGAGUCCUGCCAGGGUUG
rnacentral:tRNA from 1 species